AAAUCGGAACGCCCAGAUGUCUACCUAACAUGGAAAGGAAAUGCGUCUUCUGUAAAUAAAAGAGAACGGUUUAUUCUCCUUGAUUCUGUAAAAUGCUGUAUAUUACAAUUUAAUUAUAGACUCGCAGAGAUAUUCUACUUAACACUACCAUUAGCUCAGUUUAAUAUUGUAUUAUCUAUUAAUGAUUAAUAUACGAUCGUGAUAACAAUUUU